UGUGUAGCACAGUGGUAGUGCAGCUCAUUCGUAAUGAGCAGGUCGCAGGUUCGAAUCCCGUCAC
rnacentral:tRNA from 1 species